rnacentral:rRNA from 1 species
UGAGGAAUAUUGGUCAAUGGGCGGCAGCCUGAACCAGCCAUCCCGCGUGAAGGAAGAAUGCGCUAUGCGUUGUAAACUUCUUUUUCAGGGGGAUAAAAUUUUGUAUGUACACAGAACUGAAGGUACCCUGAGAAUAAGCAUCGGCUAACUCCGUGCCAGCAGCCGCGGUAAUACGGAGGAUGCGAGCGUUAUCCGGUUUUAUUGGGUUUAAAGGGUGCGUAGGCGGAAGGAUAAGUCAGUGGUGAAACCCUGCAGCUUAACUGUAGACUUGCCAUUGAUACUGUGUUUCUUGAGUAUGGUCAAGGCAGGCGGAAUGUGUAAUGUAGCGGUGAAAUGCUUAGAUAUUACACAGAACACCGAUAGCGAAGGCAGCUUGCUGGGCCGUUACUGACGCUGAUGCACGAAAGCGUGGGGAUCGAACAG